AGUGAACGCUGGCGGCAGGCCUAACACAUGCAAGUCGAGCGGCAGCGGGUCCUUCGGGAUGCCGGCGAGCGGCGGACGGGUGAGGAAUACAUCGGAAUCUGCCCUGUCGUGGGGGAUAACCUAGGGAAACUUAGGCUAAUACCGCAUACGACCUACGGGUGAAAGCGGGGGAUCGCAAGACCUCGCGCGACAGGAUGAGCCGAUGUCCGAUUAGCUAGUUGGCGGGGUAAAGGCCCACCAAGGCGACGAUCGGUAGCUGGUCUGAGAGGAUGAUCAGCCACCCUGGGACUGAGACACGGCCCAGACUCCUACGGGAGGCAGCAGUGGGGAAUAUUGGACAAUGGGCGCAAGCCUGAUCCAGCCAUGCCGCGUGGGUGAAGAAGGCCUUCGGGUUGUAAAGCCCUUUUGUCCGGGAAGAAAUCGUCUGGGCUAAUACCCCGGGCGGAUGACGGUACCGGAAGAAUAAGCACCGGCUAACUUCGUG
rnacentral:rRNA from 1 species